UUUUUUUUCUUACGUUUUGGUAAGAUGUUGAUGGGUUAGGUGAGAUUUGUUGGAUUUGCUGACUUUGGUGAUGGUUUAGCAGGUGAUAAAAUACGA